rnacentral:misc_RNA from 1 species
GAAAUGCGAUACGUAAUGUGAAUUGCAGGAUUCAGUGAAUCAUCAAAUUCUUGAACGCACAUGGCGGUCCUACUCUUCGGAUGGGACCACAUCUGUUUCAGUGUCAGCUAACCAUCUCAUACAAGCACCGUUCUUUCGGGAUCGGCGCGCGUGUGGUGCUGGCGUGUCGCGCGCGCUUUCAGUAGCGUGCGCGUCCGCUUAAGUGAAGAGGUGCGCGAGACCGCGGCUACGGCCGCGAUGCUCCAGCAUGGUGAAGUAAUUUUACUCACGCCAGGCCGGCCAGCAUCGCGACUCGCGGCAUGCGCGCACCCAGAGCUUGUCGUGCGUUAACGCGCGCGGCAAGACCCCCCCUUUCAACAUUGACCUGAAAUCAGGUGAGGCUACCCGCUGAAUUUAA